AUAUAUCUAUGGUCGACACGUCUGGUAGCAUCUCUGGCUGCUGUUGACCUUGUUUUUGGAGUAAAACACGGUGGAAGCUGAAUUAGUGAGGAUGACUCCUGCUCCUGUCAUCUCUAAGCUCCUCACACAUCUUUACCUGCACAUGAGGAAAAUCACUCCUGUAGAAUGCAGAUGUUCAGAGGGAGAUGAUGCCACAUCUGGUCCAGCUGAUGGAAGGUCUUGAAGUUCUCUGACUGGCCUGGACUGAAGAUGGUCGUCUCACUGGAUUUAAGGUUCAGAUGCUCAGUAACAAACUCCACCAAUGAGCCAACAGGGAAGCUUUAGGUUUAUUAAAUGUUGCUAUGAAGGUUUCACUGUUUUUCUUUGUGAAUGCAAUGUGCUCCAACUGAAAGUUCAAUUAGAACUUAGAAGUAAAUCCUUCCAUCUGAAAGGAUUUAGUUGCAUUAAUAACCUCAUAACAUUCUAAUUUUUAUUCCAGUCUUGGUUGGAAAUAGAAUCUCUGUAUUGAUUCAGGUAAAAACUGAACUUCACAGCAUGUUGGAGCAAAACAACCAGAUGAAAACUGUGAUGGUGUUGGAUUGUCAGACCGUAAUGUUGCAGCUCAAAGCAGCUUUUCUAUCUCAGUUCAUUCUGACAUUCAGCUAUGAAUCAACACAGCAGAUGGUGAUCCAUGCUGUGGAAGUCUCACAUCUCCUGAUUUAAUGGAGCUGCUUUGCACUUUUUACACUGUUUAUUCUCCAACACUUUAUUUAAUAAAAGUCCCAUCUAGUUUUUAUGAGGAAUGUGAUGUUUUAAUUUCUCUGUGAAUAACUGCAGUCUAAUGCAACAGCUGGAGUUGUAACAUCUGUCCUGAUAUUGAUCAUGAAGUAUUGAUCAGAAUACUUAUGGUCAGCAGUCAUCCCUGAAGUUAUGCUUUUGUUUUUG